AGUGAACGCUGGCGGUAGGCCUAACACAUGCAAGUCGAACGGCAGCACAGUAAGAGCUUGCUCUUACGGGUGGCGAGUGGCGGACGGUUGAGGAAUACAUCGGAAUCUACUUUUUCGUGGGUGAUAACGUAGGGAAACUUACGCUAAUACCGCAUACGACCUACGGGUGAAAGCAGGGGAUCUUCGGACCUUGCGCGAUUGAAUGAGCCGAUGUCGGAUUAGCUAGUUGGCGGGGUAAAGGCCCACCAAGGCGACGAUCCGUAGCUGGUCUGAGAGGAUGAUCAGCCACACUGGAACUGAGACACGGUCCAGACUCCUACGGGAGGCAGCAGUGGGGAAUAUUGGACAAUGGGCGCAAGCCUGAUCCAGCCAUACCGCGUGGGUGAAGAAGGCCUUCGGGUUGUAAAGCCCUUUUGUUGGGAAAGAAAAGCAGCAGGUUAAUACCCCGCUGUUCUGACGGUACCCAAAGAAUAAGCACCGGCUAACUUCGUG
rnacentral:rRNA from 1 species